CAUGAAGAUCUUCUGCAGUCGGGCCAAUCCGACCACGGGGUCUGUGGAGUGGCUGGAGGAGGAUGAACACUAUGAUUUCCACCAGGAGAUUGCAAGGUCAUCCUAUGCAGAUAUGCUACAUGACAAAGACAGAGUAAGUGUAAAAGGAAACUAUUAUCUUGAUGUGGGGUGUUUUGAAGUCUUGGAUUACAAGAAGGUUAAAAAUCCCUGGGGGUCAUGAUGUUAAAUGAUACUGAGAGGCAUGUGGUGUAGAAGUCAGGAAAUCAGUUGGGAGGCUGGGUCCUACUUCUGGCUCUGUUUUUGUUGUUUAAUCUCCCAGCUUUAUCAAGAUAGAACUGACAAAUAAAAAUUGUCUACGUUUAUAGUAUACAAUGUGAUGAA
rnacentral:sRNA from 1 species